rnacentral:rRNA from 1 species
UACGGGGGGGGCAAGCGUUGUUCGGAAUUACUGGGCGUAAAGGGCGCGUAGGCGGUUCGCUAAGUUGAAUGUGAAAACUCUGGGCUUAACCCAGAGCCUGCAUUCAAUACUGGCGGGCUAGAGUUCUGGAGGGGAUAGCGGAAUUCCUGGUGUAGCGGUGAAAUGCGUAGAUAUCAGGAGGAACACCGGUGGCGAAGGCGGCUAUCUGGACAGAGUCUGACGCUGAGGAGCGAAAGCGUGGGGAGCAAACAGG